rnacentral:rRNA from 1 species
UUGAUCCGAAGAUUUCCGAAUGGGACAACCCGGCAUUCUGAAGGAAUGUCAUCCAACUUGGUUGGAGGCUAACGCAGGGAACUGAAACAUCUUAGUACCUGCAGGAAAAGAAAAUAAAUAAUGAUUCCCCUAGUAGUGGCGAGCGAACGGGGAUUAGCCCAAACCACCCAUGUUACGGCAUGUGUGGGGUUGUAGGACCACGCUCUCGCAAGACAGUUAUUGAGAAGAAACGACUGGAAAGUCGUGCCAUAGACGGUGAUAGCCCGGUAUUCUAAGGUAACCGAAGCGUAGUGGUAUCCUGAGUAGCGCGGAGCACGAGGAAUUCUGCGUGAAUCAGCCGGGACCAUCCGGUAAGGCUAAAUACUCCCGAGAGACCGAUAGCGAACCAGUACUGUGAAGGAAAGGUGAAAAGCACUUCGAAUAGAAGAGUGAAAUAGUCCCUGAAACCAUGCGCCUACAAGCGGUCGGAGCAGCUUCAGCUGUGACGGCGUGCCUUUUGCAUAAUGAACCUACGAGUUACUUUUUCCGGCAAGGUUAAGCAUCUUGAGAUGUGGAUCCGAAGCGAAAGCGAGUCUGAACAGGGCGGAUAGUCGGAAGGAGUAGACGCGAAACCAAGUGAUCUACCCUUGGGCAGGUUGAAGGUUAGGUAACACUAACUGGAGGACCGAACCGAUAAGCGUUGAAAAGCUUCCGGAUGACCUGAGGGUGGGGGUGAAAGGCUAAUCAAACUUGGAGAUAGCUCGUACUCCCCGAAAUGCAUUUAGGUGCAGCCUUGAGAGUUACUAAUGUGAGGUAGAGCGACUGAUAAGAUGCGAGGGCUUCACCGCCUAUCAAGUCUUGAUAAACUCCGAAUGCGCAUUAGUUCUAUCUCAGGAGUGAGGGCAUGGGUGCUAAGGUCCAUGUCCUAAAGGAGAAGAAUCCAGACCAUCAGCUAAGGUCCCCAAAUAAACACUAAGUUGAACUAACGAAGUCAGAUUGCUAAGACAGCUAGGAUGUUGGCUUGGAAGCAGCCAUUCAUUUAAAGAGUGCGUAACAGCUCACUAGUCGAGGAGUUUGGCGUGGAUAAUAAUCGGGCAUUAAGUGUUUUACCGAAGCUAUGGGAUCCUAAUGGAUCGGUAGGGGAGCAUUCCACUCUGCGUUGAAGGCGAAGCGUGAGCUUUACUGGAGCGUGUGGAAAAGCAAAUGUAGGUAUAAGUAACGAUAAAGGGGGUGAGAAACCCCCUCGCCGCAAGACUAAGGUUUCCUGAUCAACGCUAAUCGGAUCAGGGUUAGUCGGGUCCUAAGGCUCAGCCGAACGGUGAGGCCGAUGGCAGAACAGGUUAAUAUUCCUGUACUACCU